UAACUGCGUUCCAGCGACCGUCAGCAGCAACACUUCCUCCAGCCGGAUUCCCUCUUCGUCUCAUUCUCAUUCUCGGUUUGAUGGGACAAACUAACUAGCGCUGUAAUAUAAGUGAGAACUUCAACGGUUCAGAAUAAGUGAUUACAAAGCCUCAGCCAUGGCGACAAUAGUGGAUUUCGACCCCCUCAACUCCACAGUACCGGCGACAAAGAUUGAAAUCAGCGUUUCCUGCAGCUCGAGAAGUUGUAUGCCCUUGACUUGAAGCCCCUGCUGCUGAUUGCACAUCCUCUGAAGACACCAGGAACUACAUACAAGACAAAGGUUAUGAUGCCAGUGCAUGCCCACCUUAGCACAUCCGCUAAGACUUGCCUCGAAAAUGUGGAUGCCAUCUACAAAUUGAUGGUUGGAGGUUGGACAAGACUCUCAGAUGAACUAGAGGACCCCCACACUGUGCCACCACUCGAAGACACAUCAAACCAACUACCUCAAGAAGAGUCUUUUAUCUUGCAUUUUGUGACCCAUCUCCCAUCCCCCAUACCCAGCCACAACAGCAGGAAACACCAGAUUCACCACCACCACACCAGGCUCCUUCCAUCCACACACCACCACCACCCCAGGCUCCUUCCAUCCACACACCACAACCCCACCAGGCUCCUUCCAUCCACACACCACAACCCCACCAGGCUCCUUCCAUCCACACACCACAACCACACCAGGCUCCUUCCAUCCACACACCACAACCACAACAGGCUCCUUCCAUUCAGGAACCACCACAGCAGGGUCGACAGCGACAGAAAAGAGCCAAAAAGUUAAAGAUUGCCCUCACAACCAGCUUGACAUGUUCCCAGUCAGUGAAAUAAUAAAGACAAGGAUCAGAAAGGGGAGGAUGGAACACCUUUAUAACUGGCAGCCCUGCACUCUAUGUGGAAAGACAUGGUCUCCAUCCUGGCAGCCAGCAAACAUCCAGCAUACAUUGCACACUUAAAAAAAACGUUGGGCUAUUAUUGAUUAGUUUGUUGUUACCGUUUUAUGCACAAUAACAUUAUCAUUAUAUAAAAUGUUUAAAACGGGCAGAUAUUUACUGCAAUACAUGUAAUUUGAGAAACAUUUUGACCUUGUUUUAUGGUUUUCUUUUGAGCAUGUUGCAGCUGCUCUAACCUGUAUGGAUUUAAUAAAGUCAAAACAAAUUUGAUGGACUUUUUUAUGACCUGUGUUUGCAUUGUUCUGUGGCUCCUGACAAUUUCACAGCUGAAUUGCAUAUCUGUGAACUGAUA